GAACAAUUAUGUCACUAUUGUGAUUGCCUAAAUGUAAUUGCUCCAACAUUUGUAAGUCCUUCAAAUUCUGCACCUCAUCUCCAGCGUCCUCAUCAAGAACCCUUUCAUUGUCUACUUCCAUCCCGAUCGCUUCGGUUAAGUCUAUCUCAAACCUCCCUUAUAGCCCCUCUUCUUGAAAGAACUCUCCAUCAUAUGUGUUUGGGUCUAAGUUAUAAUCUUCAUCAAUUGGGACAGAUACUUUACCAUGUGGCGAUAUCUUGUGCACAAUAUCCCAACCCUUAAGAUGCUCUUUUGUUUGACAUGCAUAUGAGAGAUAAUAAACUUGCGUGGCUUGUUGGGCCACAAUAUAGACAUCGUCACCUGGUAAGACAGAAUCUUUUCAAAUUUCGACUAGCCCAAGAUUAGAAUAUGUUUGUCUCGUUACUUCAGGAUCAAACCAAUGACAUUUGAAUAUGUUAGGAUUAAGAGCUUUGGAACCACGAAACUUGAGCUCAUAUAUUUCUUCGAUUCUUCCAUAAUAGUCGACCCCAUCUUGGCCAGGCGUAAAAACUCCGGUACUUGUGGUUCUUUGAUUAGGUAGACUCUGCUCAUAGUUUGUUGUGUGAAAGCGAUAUCCAUUCACGUCAUAACCGGUAAAUGACCUGACCCUAUAUUCAAAGCCAUCUGCAACCUGUCUCAACUCGGCACUCAUUGUUUGUUUGGUUUUUAUAUAAUUUAAAAACGACUAGGCCACAACAUUGUUCUCAUACUUCAUGAGCAAGAUGUUUGAAAUUUGAUGUAACUUCCUAUAUUUGAACUUUAUUCGAUUUGAAAAAACAUAAAUAUCAUUUUUUCAUUCAUUUUUUAAAAUUACUUGAACCACCUACAGUUUAAAUUUGAGUUAUCCCUAAAAAUUCAAUUAAAUGAGCUAAAUUAACUAAAUAUAGCAAAUAGAUUGAGAAUGAUAUAAAACUUUCACAUAAAGUUAAGGUUACCUAAUGAUGUUAGGAGAAAAAGUUUAGAGGCUAGAAACAAAAAAAAAACAAAAAAUAUUUGCCGAGUGUCCAAGCAAAACACUAGGCAAAAUGAUAACUUUGCCUAGUGCCAGGAUAAAACACUAGGCAAAAUGUAACUUUGCCGAGUCUCAGCAAACCCUAACGGUGGUUGGGUCGUGCAUGCUGGAACGGAACAUUUGCCGAGUGUCUAGCUUUGCCUAGUGCUGAACACUAGGCAAAGAGCUAGUUUGCCUAGUGUCUGGCACUAAGCAAACCGUCGAAUUGCCGUGUUUUUGUUUUUCCCGAGGGUGACACUCGACAAACCACUCCUUUGCCAAGUGUCCGAUAUAAAACACUAGGCAAAACAUAUAACACUCGGCAUAGAUCGUGUCUCCGGUAGUGAACCAAACAUGGCCUUAAUCGAUGGAGAUAAAAACAUGAAAGAGCCAACCCUAGAGAGAGCGUAAUGUAUUUCAUCCUGCACAGGAGCCAUAUAUGAUGCUUGUUGAGACUCAGGCCUUAUUUAGUUCACCCCGAAAUCCAAAAAGUUUUUAAGAUUCUUCGUUACAUCGAAUUUUGCGGC
rnacentral:lncRNA from 1 species